CAGCCGCCGCGGGAAUACGUAGGUGGCAAGCGUUGUCCGGAAUUAUUGGGCGUAAAGGGCUCGCAGGCGGUUUCUUAAGUCUGAUGUGAGAGCCCCCGGCUCAACCGGGGAGGGUCAUUGGAAACUGGGAAACUUGAGUGCAGAAGAGGAGAGUGGAAUUCCACGUGUAGCGGUGAAAUGCGUAGAGAUGUGGAGGAACACCAGUGGCGAAGGCGACUCUCUGGUCUGUAACUGACGCUGAGGAGCGAAAGCGUGGGGAGCGAACAGGAUUAGAGACCCCUGUGGUCCCUGUCUCUUAUAC
rnacentral:rRNA from 1 species